rnacentral:rRNA from 1 species
CCCUUAGAUGUUCUGGGCCGCACGCGCGCUACACUGACGAAGUCAGCGAGCAUGUCCUACGCCGACAGGUGCGGGGAAUCUUGUCAAACUUCGUCGUGAUGGGGAUUGAUUAUUGAAAUUCUUGAUCAUCAACGAGGAAUUCCUAGUAAGCGCAAGUCAGCAGCUUGCGUUGAUUACGUCCCUGCCCUUUGUACACACCGCCCGUCGCUACUACCGAUUGAAUGGUUUAGUGAGAUCUUCGGAUUGGCGCAACUGCGGCUCAGCAAUGGGCUCGGUGGAUGCCGAAAAGUUGAUCAAACUUGAUCAUUUAGAGGAAGUAAAAGUCGUAACA